CAGUUUCUAUCCUCUUUUUGAAAUGAGCUAAUUUUGUACGAAAGGACUUUUUCGCUAAAGCAAUGCUUUGUCACAAAUCUGUGGUUGCAUAAAUAAUAGGGUAUAAUAGGUUGAUUAGUCUAUAGGAAGGGUUA
rnacentral:rRNA from 2 species